CGUCAAAUAGUCGACACACCUUCAUUAGCUUCUGUUUGGUGAACGGGUCGGGGAAAAGCUUUUCCGAUAACCAGUCAGACUUAUUUAUAUCAGCGGAAUCUUCCUGCCGUGCAACCCCAGACAGCAUCGGAUUCAAGAGCGGAAAAUUCCGACAGCUACGAGAGGGCAAACUAUAGUGGACUCCAAGGGCAACCAUUCGUCCAACCAAUUUGAAGAGGUAACUGUGCUGACUGUUCCAGUCCUCCGGCUAUAAGCGGUUGCAAUCGGUUCCGAUCCGGUCCAGGGAGACACAACGGCUGACGCCAAAACCCUUUUGUUCGAAAGCAACUGUCUAGCAACAAAUAUCGUUCAAUGAACCGGUUUAAACAUUCAAUAUAAGGGAAAAUCGAUGAUGUGAAGUGGUGAAAGAUAGAACAUCUACUUACAGAGAAAAAAAACUUACAGAGAAAUAAAAUGUUUCAAAC